rnacentral:snoRNA from 1 species
UCUCAUACACUUAAACACCUUCAAAUAUUCUAAGUGUUAUUAAGUGAGAUAAAGAGAUCAUUGAUCUUAAUUUGUAAUAUCCACACUAUUGAGA